rnacentral:rRNA from 1 species
UACGUAGGUGGCAAGCGUUGUCCGGAUUUACUGGGCGUAAAGAGCGCGCAGGCGGUCGAAUAAGUCGAAUGUGAAAGCCCCGGCUCAACUGGGGAGGGUCAUUCGAUACUGCUCGACUUGAAGGCAGGAGAGGGUAGUGGAAUUCUCGGUGUAGCGGUGAAAUGCGUAGAUAUCGAGAGGAACACCUGCGGCGAAGGCGGGUUGCUGGGCUGAUACUGACGCUGAGGCGCGAAAGCUAGGGGAGCGAACGGG